rnacentral:lncRNA from 1 species
ACACGGUCGUAAUUUCAUGCAAGCUCCUGGAUAUGGCCUCAACAUACUCCGAGAAUCAUGAAUAUCAUUUUUCGAAUCAAAAGUCUGCAUUAUUUCAUGUACCUGCAGUUCAAAUCUUGAGGUGCGGGAAACAUUAAAAGAAACAGAAAUAAUCAACGAAAUAUAGCUAAAAAGUUCAAAAUUGUCCCAAACUUUGGAGGUGGCUUGUAUUUGGGGUGGGAAGACACCAGAAAAAAAUUGAGAAGGAAAAAACAAAAAAAAAGAUUUUUUUGCCGAUGGCCGGCC